rnacentral:rRNA from 1 species
UGGGGAAUUUUGGACAAUGGGCGCAAGCCUGAUCCAGCAAUGCCGCGUGCAGGAAGAAGGCCUUCGGGUUGUAAACUGCUUUUGUCAGGGAAGAAAUCUUCUGGGCUAAUACCCCGGGAGGAUGACGGUACCUGAAGAAUAAGCACCGGCUAACUACGUGCCAGCAGCCGCGGUAAUACGUAGGGUGCGAGCGUUAAUCGGAAUUACUGGGCGUAAAGCGUGCGCAGGCGGUUAUGUAAGACAGAUGUGAAAUCCCCGGGCUCAACCUGGGAACUGCAUUUGUGACUGCAUGACUGGAGUGCGACGGAGGGGGAUGGAAUUCCGCGUGUAGCAGUGAAAUGCGUAGAUAUGCGGAGGAACACCGAUGGCGAAGGCAAUCCCCUGGGCCUGCACUGACGCUCAUGCACGAAAGCG